rnacentral:rRNA from 1 species
UACGGAGGGUGCAAGCGUUAUCCGGAUUCACUGGGUUUAAAGGGUGCGUAGGCGGCUUUGUAAGUCAGUGGUGAAAUACGGUAGCUCAACUAUCGAGGUGCCAUUGAUACUGCGGAGCUUGAGUACAGAUGAGGUAGGCGGAAUUGACGGUGUAGCGGUGAAAUGCUUAGAUAUCGUCAAGAACACCUAUAGCGAAGGCAGCUUACUAGGCUGUAACUGACGGCUGAGGCACGAAAGUGUGGGGAUCAAACAGG